GAGGCUUCAUUAACUCCGAGGCUCAAUUAAAGUCUCUAAAAAGCUUUGAGCUGCUUGACCAAAAAGCUCUAUGAAAAUUAAUUUAGUGCUUUUAUAUCUGCUCAGCACCAGGACCACAAAAAGAUGCUCCAAGAACAAGUCCGAGGAGGCUGAUGGCAGGGACGGGCACUAUUUCAAGGGAGCAGGGGACAAUGGGGAGGAGAAUGGAUGGACAUAGUCGAUGGCCAUGCUGAGAUGCGGAGGAGCUGCUGGAGAUGCACACACAGACAUGGGAGGUGAACCUGCACGGACAAGCUCCUACAUGUCCCCAUGGUCCGAACCACCAAGAAGAAGUUUCUCAGCAUAUGAGCGAAGCCCUGGGGCUGUUGGCUUCACCUAAACCAUUUUUUCUCUUGGUCUUUGUGCCUCUUUCCCCUUUGCUUCUCAGGAGCCAUUUCCAAAGCACGGACAGAUGAAGAGCAUCCAAAACCUUUCAGGGCAGGGGAUGGAGAAGGCUGUCACUGCCUCUGAGCCACAGAUUGGCAUUCAAGCAGCUGAAUUAAUCCACAGUUUCAUGCCUGCUGGUCCCUCUGAUUGGGCUUUUAUAAUUAGAACAAUCUUGUCCCCAAGUGUUUAUGAAAGGGCUGCAGUGCAGGCUCCCAGAUUUUAUUACAAUUGAAUUUAAGGGCAUUUAUUUAGCUUAUUGCUACCACUCCACCAUCUUUAUUUGCUAACAAGGGCUUUGUUCCAUGCUGGGGAUUUAAGAGGGACACAGGAUUAGUGCAUCCCCACCACCCCUCCUCUCCCCGUCCCAGAUCUGUCUCUCCGGCACACACUGGCUCGAUUGGAUUACGGCUUUGUGCCAUCCUGCAUCUCCCUUUUUAUAAAGUGGAUUGAUUUACCCCUCUCAGCCCGCUUGCUUUUCUCCCCACCUUCCUCCGAAAGAACAAACAGCAUCAGAUAUGCCAGAGCUCCUCAUGUCACCGCUAAGAUUUACUGCGCUUUGCAAAACAAAAGCAUGUAACUUGUGGCCGGAAAGCAAGAGUGACAGGCAGGAGGUUAAAACUCUUUGCAAGGAAGAAAGAGGGGAAAAGCGAAUUACAAGGGAAGGCUUUGAGCCAGGGCUUCGAAACCAAACAGAGGAACAUCCAGCAUAUCCCGCUAUUGCAUCCAGGACUGGGACAGACGGGACGCUUUCUCCUGCAGGUGUGUCUCUUAGGUAGAUGACCAUUCGACAUACCCAGAGGACCAUUUUCCAGCUAUUUCGUCUCCUCAGAUCUCCUCAGCUGUAGCUCUCCUGUGUCACUGAUCCUUAAACCACACCAGACAUGUGCUGCCUAACUACAUUUUUGUGCUAAAGUCUGCAGUUUCAACCCUCUGUGGGUUUUGGGCAGAAAGGAAUAUUGUAUUUUCUUUAAAAGGACAGUUUCAGCCUUGAAGAAGGCAUUAGAAAUCUCCAUGUUUAGUCGCUCACUUUCUUCUCAGUUUGGUUUUGGUUUUUUUGUGAUUUAUUCCACCCCUGGUGAUUUUCCUGCAAUUUAAAUAUGUGCCAGCAGUUUACAAGCCUUUCUCAACGCUGCCCUAGGCAGUAUUCUAUGUUUUUACCUGUUCUGCCUUCAAGAUUUAGCUCGAGGGUCCAGCCCCUGUGGUAAAAUACCUGGCCCUUAAAAUUCGAGCCUGCUGCCACUGAUUGCAUCAAAUUGUCUUGGGCUUACUAGACAAACUGAACAAAAUUGAGUCUUUAAGACACAAAAAUGCCAAACCCAUAAAUAUGGGGGUUCAGAGGGCUGAGGGGCAGGGGAGCAGAUGAAGAUGGGGCGAGAAGCUGGAGACAGAGCCAUGGCAUGCGUAUGGCCCAGGCAGACACCAAUCCCCCCAGCCUUGCACACUGUGUUCACCCCACACGAUAGAUGCAGCAAGCUAUUUCCAGCAGGUAGGUCAUAAAUCCCUUGUUUAUUGCCCUUUAUUAUGUUGUUUCAACAGCUCUUAAAGCUGGAACAGCGACCGAUUGAUAGCUGCUUUAAAUCUCUUUCAUUUUCUGCCCAUAUUUCUUUGUUUUUCAGGGAGGGGGGCAUUUUUUUUUCCACCUCUCCACUUUCUCUUUCCCUUCAUGAGUCAAAUCCCAUCUCUUUCCCUCUAUGAGUCAAGUUUUAUAGAUCCCCCUCCACACUGAAAGGCGGCAGCGGCACAGAAAUGCCGGUAGUGAUUGGGGAAGAGCAGCCAGGGAGCACACAUGGAAGAGGAGACAGUGCUUGUAUUUUUGCUAGGAAAUGCAUAUAUAGAUUGAAUUCAAAGCAAGAGGGGCAAAAUGGCGAGAAGAGGCAGCCGACUCAACAAGGAAUGAUUGACUGCGGUAGAAUCAGGAAGGAGAGACCCGCAAUUAAAAUACUAUAAGAUGAUUAUGGCCUGGAUCAAUUUUUAGGUGUUCAUUGGCAACUGCAUCCCCUCCUUUUGAACAGCCGUCUUGUCCAACAGGGGAUAGGGAAGCAACCAUAGCUUUGGGGAUGGAGUCUAAGGAUGCCAGCAGGAUGGAGAUGCCAGAGAAAAGUUAUGGAUUAAAUCACAGUAUCUCAGGCAGCCCCUGUGCAGCUUUUAGCACAAACCCAAAGCUUAAGGGUCACCAGGGGCUUCUGAGUCACAUCAGCAGCAAGAGCGAUGCCAGGGUUUGCAGGAUGUGAUUGAUGGUAGAGCUAGGGAAUCUCAGCACUACCCUCCUAAAGCCUGUAUUUUUCCAAGAGUUGAUCAAAAUCUUAUUAUUUCAGUCAGGGUAACUAUCUCCUAGCAAAAUAGAGUUUUCCCAUGAAAACAUUUCAUGAGGAUAUGUCCACAGCGCUGAAAUUUAUAGUGGGGGGAAAAAAAAGCCUAGUGAAUUAUUUCAACAGUGUUUGCUCCAGUUCUCAUUUUGAUUACCUUCAUUUUGACACGUAUUUUAAUAUAUUCAUAUUUUCAUGCUUUGACCUUAUCAGAACGAAACGCUUCAUUCCAUCUAAAUGAAGGGAUUACAAAUGGGCUGGAUGAAACUCUUGGCUGUUCUGAAUCUGAAAAAUGUGACAACUUCUGUUCCAUAGAAAAGUUCCAAAUUUCAGCGUCUCAUACGCAUUCAAAGCAAACUCCCCAAAGAGUGACAAGGUCUUGAAGGAACACUAAUUAAAAGUCCAGGACCACUCACCAAACAGGAGCCUUUUUAGGCAGGUUUCCAGCCUUCAUUAAGGCUUCUAUAACUAUUAUAGCAGCUAAUUUUCAUGCUGGAUUCAGACUGAUCAUGUCUGAGAACUUGCUUUACUGGUGGGUUUUAAGCACCUGGAAAUCCCUCCCAGGUUCUCCAGACACAUCUGAUCCCACAGCCCUCAGCACAUCUUUGCAAACUCCUUUACUGGGUGAAGGUGAGGGCUCUUAGCGGCCCAUUAGCUGUAAGCAGCCUCUUCACAGGGGUUUAAGAAAAACACUGAACACCAAAAAAAGCCCCUGUGCUUAAAAACAAAAAAUAACCAGUCACAGCAAUUAGCAUCCUUGCCAGUAAGAGCCUCUUAGGGCUGUGGCUUUGUGCUGUGGAAGAAGCCAGCCAGGGAGGCAACCCAGGCACCAGCAGGGAGGGGAGCAAAAUGUGUCUUCAGGCUUCAAGGGUUAUGUAUUUCCACCCGGUGCAAAGGGAUUUAUAGCAAUAAUGCCCAAAGGCCAAGUGUGAAAUUACUAAAUCAUGUGCACAUGCCAAAUAGGGGGGAAAAAAUCUGCCGUCAUUUCAAUCCACUGAACAGAUUUUUUCCCAUCCAAAAUGAGAAUUAACUGCCUUAUUUUAUUUCAAAUUAACAUGAGGGGGCAGAAACUGGACAUUUUCAGCAUGCAGCUCCUAGUUUUAGAAUAAAUGCUGCCGGAUCCCAUGUCUUGACUGGCUCCACCUUUUCUGAUUUAUGUGACAAUUUGGUCUAUUGGGAAUAGUGACAAAACUUCGGCAUCUAUGAUGGAUGGGAUAUCACCAGUGAGCAAAUUCUUCCCUGGGAGUUUUGAAGCGAAGAACACACCUAUUGCCCAACAUCUUCAUUUCAACACUCCAUUAUUGUAUUUUUAAAGCACUCCUUAUAAAGGCCAACUGUACACUUAAAAGUUUGACCAGCAUGAGCUAUAUCAGUUUAAAGGGUGAAUAGAAUUUUUAAUUUUUACAUUUUUUAUGACUUAGAUGUGCCAAUAAAACUCUUGGCUGGAUUUCCACAGCUUACUUGCUGAAGCGAGAGCAAGUUAAACUGAAAAAGCAGUUUUUUUUCCAGGGGUAGAAGUUGGUAAAAGAGCUGCUUUCUAGGAUAGCUGUCCAGGCAAACCUUUGAACUUUAUCCAGAGGUAGAGCUGGGAUUUGUAAAACUGCUUUUCUUGCCUUCAGAGAGAUGUCAGCUAAGAUUUGCUGUUUCACACAAUGUAAAGAAAAAGACAUCGCUUUGUGAAAAAUCUCAUUCCAAGGAAUUUAACAGAUGAUCCAAACAAAUAAGGGCGGAAAGACAGUUAAGAAAAGGUGGGUUCUAAUAUAAGAUAAAUCUGUGUCCAAACAGGAAUAAAGGUGGCAUGGAACCAGGAGGUUCGGGGCUAAAACUAUCCAGCUGAGUCUUAAGUGUAAACUUCUGAAUAUGGGUGAUAAUUCAGCAUAAAAGGUAAACUCCACCCUGACUUCCCAUCAGAUUUAGUAAUUAUAAAAUUAUUUCCCUCAGCCCUGGAAGCCUUGCUGGGCUCUGCUUGUGCUGAGCGGCACAAGCCCACUUCUAAUCAUGGUUGGCUCAGAGUAUAAAACACAUGUCAGUCAAGGGACAAUGUUCCUGGUGCAUCUGCAGAUCUACUUGGCUUUACACCAAUGGUUUAAGCCCUGUGCCUCAGUCUCCUCACUUUUGGAUGGGAGGAGGCAACAUUCCCCUAUUGCACAAACCUCUCUGCAUUUGGGAAGUGGCACAGGGAUCACUGGUACUGGAAACAUUGCAAAACCCAGAUUAUUUGAUCCAGGAACAUUUGGUUUGCAUUAGCAAACUGUUUAUUAAUAACCACUGUUUAUUGAUAACCACUGUCACAGCAAUACAAUAUUGUCCACAGCAGUUUCUGUGGUUUUCCACAAAUGAUGACAACCCCUUGCAAAACUCCUCUCUUAAUCCAAGUGCCAGACUGCCUGCACUGGUGACUCGGGUUCUUACUAUUUCUGCCUUUAAUAGCCCCAGCACUGAUUAGAUUGCAUGGAGUAGCCCAUGUUCAGCAGUUUAAUGGGUACCAGCCCAGACAGACUAAUGGAUCUGGAGACCAGGAAAGAGCAGGAAGGUGAGCUGAGUGGAGAAUAUUGAGGCUUUUAAGGCAGAAAAGUAGCAGCUAGACAUGGGGUAGCUGACUCACAGAGCCUCGGUGGAGACAGAGAUCCUCGCUGCUCGUCCUCGGUCAUCCAUCAAGCUGCGACAUGCCCAUGAAAACCGGUCAUUUCUAGAAACAAUUCGCACAAUGCAAAGCAGAGCUGGGAAGGGGUCCUGGGGCUCAGGGCCAGAGGUACAACCAGGUGAAUUAUUGUAGAGUCUGAGCUCACAGGCUUUUCCCGCUCCUAAAGAAAUGCAUUUCCAUUUCUGAUGCCUCGUGUCACCACCUAGGAGAUGUCAGUGCUUCAGAGAAACCAAAUGUCCUUGCUACAUCUCCAUUUUUUCUGGCUCUGAGAGGUCCAGACAAGAGAUACCUGCUUUUCAUAACUAUUAAUACCAGACCUUAUUAAACAAGGUCUGCUGGGGAGAGAGGUCUUGGAUUCAGUCCUGUGCAGGGACUCACCCAAAGGUUGUUUUUACCUGCACGUUGCCACUGGUAGGUGACUUAGCUGGGUCAGAGAUAGGAAGGACAAACUUCAGUCUACUUCAAGAUGCCUUUCCAGACUGUAUCAUCUGGGUUCUGGAAAAAAAAAGGCUCGAGGCAUCUGGAGAAACAGAGUGAGUAGGAAAGGACUUGUUAAAAUAUAUUCUCAUGUUCAUUCAGUGAAAUCCUCAGUGUCUUUGUUUUGCUUUUUAGUGAAAGAAAAUCCUGAUUACAUAGGAGGGGAAGAAGACAGAAAUCAGGGACCACUGCAUAUCCUUUUGAAAAAUAUUCAGAAAAUAAUAUUUAACAUUCCCAAACCUACUGUGCAGUGGGUGACCCUUUGCCCUCUCCUCCCAAGCAUCAAGUAUUCUGAGCAAUGAAGAGGGGAUUGCACCAGCAGGAAUAUGAACAGAGAACAUCUAGAAUGAACAGCAGAGAAUGAAGUACCUGCCAGUCUUCUCAUGGUUAUGAUGCAAGGGGAGGACAGGAGGGGUAAGAGAGUGGAGAGAACAUGAGUGAUCCCCUAAUUAAACAAAAGGCUUUCUCUAAAGUCCCCACUGAUGGAUCUCCUCCUGCAGGCUUGUGUCAUUUGGUUUUGUUCCACCAGCCAUAAAUAACAGCCCUCCUGGGACUUGCGAGGAGGGUAAAAACGGCAUUUGGCAGAAAAAUUGCAACAAGGACAAGGCUGCAAUGGAGACUUCGUGUAAGGAAUGCAGAAGCCAAGGCGGAAACAAAUUGCCAAUUUAUCCUGACCUUCCCUUGAGGCAUCCCUCCCCCUUCCCCAAAUCUACAAAAUGAGCAAUGCAGAAAUCAAUAGCUCAGCACAGUCACAGGGACAAUAGGAAAACAGCGGAUGGACAGGAUGGUAGAUCGGGAAGGAAAACUUUGCAGGGCAACAACAGGAGUUAAGAGAGUGAUAUCAGAUGUCACAUCCUUUUGACAACACCUGGAUCAUUUUAAAGCAGAAGAUUUGUGUGCAGGGGGUGGUGGAUCAUGUUCUUGCUGUUGGAAACCAAUACACGGGAAAGGGAAGAUGUGUCCGAGAAAGAAAGAAAAGCCUUGGGAGGACUUAGGCAAUGCUGAACCUCCUCGCUCAUGCUGCUUGAUGUGCUGGUUUUCAGAGCCCUGCAUCAGCCUGGAGGGUAUAGGGCAAGUGAUGCCAUUUGAGAAAGUCCUCAGACCUCUGGAAAUCCCCCAGCCCCACCAGUAAGAAUGAAGAUUUGCUGCCUUCCAGGUUCGGAUGAGGAUAGGACAGGUCUGUGUGGAUAUUUGUGAGUCCCAAAUGGCCCAACAUCACAGAUUGCCAGGAAGAUGUCAGCCCAGGUCCAGUCUCAGGAGGUUUCUCACACAGCAGCUCCACAGCAAAGUCACAAAGCGAAUACGAGAGACCCUCAGACACUCUUUGUCCCUGAUUUACCACCCUCCUCAAUUAUGCAAAAGCAUUAAUUUGUAGGGGUAUGCAAUAAAUCGGUUUAGAUCAUUA